AUUGAACGCUGGCGGCAGGCCUAACACAUGCAAGUCGAGCGAGCGGCGGACGGGUGAGUACUGUAUGGGGACUGCCCGAUAGCGGGGGAUAACUACUGGAAACGGUAGCUACUACCGCAUACCAUCGGAUACCCCAUAUGGGAUUAGCUAGUAGGUUAGUUAAUGGCUCACUUAGGCGACGAACCCUAGCUGGUCUGAGAGGAUGAUCAGCCACACUGGGACGGAGACACGGCCCAUACUCCUACGGAGGCAGCAGUGGGGAAUAUUGCACAAUGGGCGCAAGCCUGAUGCAGCCAUGCCGCGUGUAUGAAGAAGGCCCUAGGGUUGUAAAGUACUUUCAGUCGGGAGGCGUUACCGACAGAAGAAGCACCGGCUAACUCCGUGCCAGCAGCCGCGGUAAUAC
rnacentral:rRNA from 1 species